rnacentral:rRNA from 1 species
AUUGAACGCUGGCGGCAUGCUUUACACAUGCAAGUCGAACGGUAACAGGCCGCAAGGUGCUGACGAGUGGCGAACGGGUGCGUAAUGCAUCGGAACGUGCCCAGUCGUGGGGGAUAACUACUCGAAAGAGUAGCUAAUACCGCAUACGAUCUAUGGAUGAAAGCGGGGGACCGUAAGGCCUCGCGCGAUUGGAGCGGCCGAUGUCAGAUUAGGUAGUUGGUGGGGUAAAGGCUCACCAAGCCAACGAUCUGUAGUUGGUCUGAGAGGACGACCAGCCACACUGGGACUGAGACACGGCCCAGACUCCUACGGGAGGCAGCAGUGGGGAAUUUUGGACAAUGGGCGCAAGCCUGAUCCAGCAAUGCCGCGUGCAGGAAGAAGGCCUUCGGGUUGUAAACUGCUUUUGUACGGAACGAAACGGCUCUGGUUAAUACCCGGGGCUAAUGACGGUACCGUAAGAAUAAGCACCGGCUAACUACGUG